GCCGAUGAUGGCUGUCUUUCGGGCCCUGACCUUAUGAUGAAGGCCCUCCUAUCUGAGG
rnacentral:snoRNA from 1 species